rnacentral:lncRNA from 1 species
GUUACGCACGACUGCCGGUGGCUCUCGGACUGCCUGGCCCACCAGUACGGGAUCGUCCUGGCCAACGUCUUCGACACCCAGGUGGCCGACGUCCUUCAGUUUUCCAGAGAGACGGGGGGCUACCUCCCGCACCGCGUCAGCACCUUGCAGGAGAGCUUGAUGCGGCACCUGAAGCUCCCCGCCGGACGGAUGGCUUUCCUGGGUGACCGGCAGAGGCUGAUUGAGGUGAGCGGUGGAGGACCGGGGUCCUAAAAGGCCGAGGGAUAUUGCCGUCUAUUCCACGUACGCCGCGGGUGCUCGGGAAGAACAGAACGAUAGCCAUAAUAAUGAGGAUACCUACAUAACGAUAUAUAAUACGGUAAGCUCUCGUUAUGCACUUAACCAGGUGCCGAGCACCGUUGCGACAGAACUCGAUCCGGCGGGACACGCGGUCCCCGUCCCGCACGGGGCCCACCCUCUUAAUCGCCACGUGACAGACGAGGGAGCCGAGGCCCAGAGAGGCGACGUGACCCGCCCAGGGUCACCCAGCGGCAAGCGGCGGGGCCGGGAUUAGAACCCGGACCCGCCCGACCCCCAGGCGCCCGUGCUCGGCCCGCCGGGCCCCGCCGCUUCUCCGAAAAGCCCCCCGACGGACCCGUGUCUCCCCCGCGGCUCGGACGGGUGCCCGGCUCGUAGUAAGCGCCCUACGAGUGAGUAUCGUCGCUGUCGUCGGUUAUCAGGAGAAUGCCGGGCUGUGGCUGGUACGGCCCCUCCCGCCGGCCCUGCCGAAGGCGCUGGCCCUGGAGGCCGCGUACCUGCUGCCCCUGCGCCUGGCGCUCCUGGACGGGACCGCGUCCGACCUGACCGCUCUGGUGGACGGAUACCUCCACGCCUUCCGGGAGAAGCCCGCGGACCCGCCGGGCGGCCUUGAGGCCUCGUGCUCGGAGCUGCCGGAGGAGCCGCGCCCGCUCACGGACCAGCGGACCCUGCGUCGGGAGCGGGCCGUCCGCGCCUACGGCCUCGAUGCCGAGGGCCUCCCGGUCCGCCCCCGGCCCCGGGGCCCCGCCGAGACGGAAGAAGCCCCCGGCGGCCGGGGCGGCCAGCGGCCCCCCGGGGCGGCGGCGGCCGUCUGCCCGCGCCCCCGGCCUCCGGAGGGCGAGGGCUGGCAGAGGCGGGGAGUCGGCCGCCGCCCCGGCGGGCGGCCCGCGGCCGCCCCCCGGCCUCCGCUCCCGGCUCCGGAGGAGCAGACGGGCGCCGGGGAGGCGGCGGAGGUCCCCGCCGGGAGGAAGGAGCCGGCCGAGGCGCCGAGACGUCCGCCUCGACCCCGCCUGUCCCUGCAAGAGGAGAUCGAGCGCCUUCUGAAGGACCGGGGCGACGACCCGGGGCGCCCGCGGCCGGGGGCCGCCGGGAGCCCCCGCCCUCCCCGGCCCGCCCGCCGGGCCCCCGGAGCCGGCCGCUCGCCGCCUCCCUCGCCCCCGCCCUGCCCGCGCCUGGAGGAGGUGGAUCCCCGGGGGGCCCCCUCCCCCAAGGCCCCCGCCGACCCGGGUCCCCGCGCGCGGCCGCCCAAGAGGGCGGCCGCCUUCUUCUCCAAGCGGGGAUCCCCGCGGGCCCCCCGCGAUUAGCUCAGCGGGCGGGGGGGUAUCUCCGGAACCGCCCCCCGCCGCCCCCCCCGGGGCGCCCGGCCGACCCGAGCCGAAGCCGGGGUCCCCCGUCGGGGUCCUCGCCCCCGGGAGGGGAGAAGCGGGACCCGGACCGUCUCGGGGGCGCGAGAGCCGGUCGGCCGACCCCCGGCAGAGAAGCCCGGGCCCGGCCGGGGUCCGGGGGAGGCCUCGGCCGCCGGCCCGGUUUCCCCGGGGCCCGACGGGGGGGCUUCGCCCCGCCUUCCCCUCCGCAGGUCCCCGCCGUUCCGUCGGAGCCUUGGGUUUGGGAGAGAAGGGCCGACGUCAGCGUCGGGCGGGGGAGCGGCGGAGACCGGGAACGGGCGGCCACGAUGGCGUCGGCUUGGCCGCCCGCCGGAAAGCGGCCCCCGGCCCCCGGGGCGAGGAGCAGGGUCAGCGCGUCCGCCUCGGCGGCGUCUCCCCCCCCCCCGGCUCUCCCCGCUCCACCCUGCACACGGAGGCCUCCCGCUGCAGCGCGCGGGCCCCGGACACCUGCGACUUCACUCUCCUCGCCCUUGGUUCUUUUCGUUACGUUUUCCCCGGAGGCCUCGGAUCUCCUCCGGAGGACGCUUUUCAGAGGAGGGCCGUUCCUCCGGCACGGGACGCCCCCUCGGACGUCGGACGUCUCCGCGGGACGAUGGCAGGGCGACCCGGGCGGGCGCGGGCGGGCGGGGGCGGCGAGAUGCGUCGGGCCCCGUGCGUUGACCAGAAGAAAUAAACGUGUUCUGGACCCAAGGCCGCGGGGUGACGUCCGUGUCUGCGGUCGGUCGAUGGAUCGGUGGCAUUUCCCGAGCGCUCACCGUGUGCGGAGCGCCGGGCCGAGCGCUCGGGAGAGGGCGGCACAAAAACGGAACCGCGACGAGCUUCCGGUCUCGAGGUCGGGACCCGGGCUCCUCCGGAGAGUGGCACGGGGGAGGGGGUUGGCUCCCGAGGCGGGGAACAGUGAGGCGGACUGUUAGAGGGCUCUUGACCCAAGCAGAAGGGGCAGCGUGGCCCAGUGGGUAGAGCACAGGCCCGGGAGUCAGAAGGACCCGGGUUCUAAUCCCGGCUCCGCGGGCGAUCGCGGGCGGGUCACUUCUCGGUGCGUCAGUUGCCUCGUCCGUAAGACGAGGAUUAAGGCCGCGAGCCCCCUGUGGGACAGGGACUGUGUCCGACCUGCUUAGUACAGCGCCUGGAACCUAGUGAGCGCUUAAUAAGUACCAUUAUUAUUAUACUACCACAGAGUCGGGCAUGUUCUCUGGCCACAGGGAGUUUAUAGUCCAGAGGGGCAUUUUAGGUCGCUAUUCGGCCGCGCCCCAAAUAACGGCAAGGUGGUUCCAGAGGUUUAAGUUUUCAUUCUAUGCCCCUAGAACAUUUCUUGAAUUAUUAUUAUUUUCUUUAAAUUCCCCUGAAUGUGCCACCGCCUGUGUUCGGACGGAGCCCCCCCUACGAUACGCCGGUCCCAAUGUGAUGACGGUGCCCCAUCGCGGGACGAAACCGGGUCACCGAACCGGAUUUUGGGAUGCUUUAGGCGAGUAACACCCCUGAUUCUGGCGCCACAAGGAUCUACUAAGCAGCGCGGCCCAGAGGAAAGAGCCCCGACUCGGGAGUCGGAGGGCGCGGGUUCUAAUCCCGGCUCCGCCGCUUGUCAGCUGGGUGACUUCGGGCAAGUCGCUGGACUUCCUUGGGCCUCAGUGACCUCGUCUGGAAAACGGGGAUUAAGACCCCGAGCCCCACGUGGGACAACCCGAUAACCUCGUACCUAUCCCGGUGCGUACAGCAGCGCUCGGCACAUAGUAAGCGCUUAACAGAUACCGUCGUGAUCACGGUCAUUAUCCACCUGCAUGAAACGCGGUCGGAUCGUCCGACGGCGGCGUCAUCUAAGGUGACUUUUGCUCGGUUGGGGUUGGACGGAUCUUUGAAUGCGGGACAAUCACGGGGGGGGGGGAGGGGGGGACGUCGUUCAACGUCGG